CGCAAUUCCUUUGCCUGGACGGAAACACCACUGUGAGGCUGUCAGCACAUACCUCCAGAAAUUAAGUAUACAAACAAAUUUAAAUCAGAAUCUAAGAGUUUGUAAGUGAGGCAGAUACUGUGUGAGGUGAAAGGGACAGUUACUGUUGUGUUUAUCUCGAAUAAAUGUCCAUAAAUCCACUCAGAAAUCAUAGAAAGAAGGCGCUCCGUCAAACUGCAAACAGGAGCUGCUGAUAAAUCAUUCUGCACUUUUAAUGGAGACACUGUGCCACACUGUAAACGACAGUAAGGGCUGAAACACGAGGCUCCAGCUGAAGGCAACUGGCAUAACUCACUUCCUGUUUACACCCCUGCAAAAGACCAACGGCUGAUUUAAUGUGAAAUAUCUUUGCUUCAAGCUUAUGGGACAACAACACAGAAUCGAUUUCAUGUUGCUGCUACAGAUUAUGACUGUUUGUCUCUGAAACAAUCUGCUGAGGUUAUUUUUCUGUUUUAGUUUGUCACCAGGUUUCAUUUCACUCACUCUCUGUUCCGCCCACUCUCUCGCUUCAUGUUGCUCUAUUUAGGACGAGCUGGUAAGGUGACUGCAUCAUGUCAUUUAAAGGUCAAUAAACACCACAGCAGAGUUUCUUGCCUCCUUCGUACACUGAUACAAUCUGGUGCUUAUUGUGUGGAUGAAGCUGUGCACACGUUACUCUGAUAAGCAUUUAACACAACCGUUUGUGACGUGAAUCCAUCAGCACACCUUAAAUUUCACUGUGACAACUUUGACCAUCACUUUAGUUUUUAUAUGACACACACUUUUAGUAAUGACUUUAAAAAUAUAGAUUCAUUUGGUGCGGAUUAUGUGAAGGUCAUAUAUUCUAAUCCUCACUUCCUGUGGGCUACAGCAACACUAAACCCCUGAGCUUGCCUGAGAAGGACUAAAUGCACAAAGCUGCUAUUUUGAAAUAUCCCAUGGAGAGAGACUCUCACUGCAGCCUGUUCUAUUUUGUUGUGAAAAUGUGGGCGUGCAGCCUCGUUCUGUGGACGAUAAACCAGGUGCAGACUUCCAUCUGUGUCACCGCUGAUGAGGAAAUACAGUGAGUGCUGGACGGAGCAGUGAGUGACAACAACCCCGCCCACAUUUAAGAGGACUGUCUGAACACACCGAGGGUCUAGGUACCAUGUCUGAAGGCUUACUGCUGGUUCUGAAGGGACUGGACUGAAAGGGUUUGGUGUUGUUUGGUCUCUAAGUGACGGAGCUGCCUCAGUUUGAUUUAAAUCUCUGAACAAAUCACAUGACGAUCAGCUGCGACUCUUUGUGGCAAGUUAGCGAAUAAACUUUUAUUAUGCCUGCACAAUCUUGCCAGACUGAAGGUUAACAUAUCAAACAGUUAAAAUGUGUUUCAUUCAUCCAUUUUUGAUACAUACAAAAAUCACUAUAAAAUGUCACUCUGUAAUAUUGUGGGCUUUUUUCAACAUUCACAAAAUAAACUGAUUGUUUCACCGCACUUCUUCCUGUGGUAAAAAAAAAAAUCAUCACAUCUUUCUGUGAACAACAACUCAGUAAAGAUCAACCUCAUCACUGCUCUCCUCAACAAUAA